GACUAGCCAAUCAGCUUCCGAGUUUGACAUUCCCCUAACCCUUAAAUUUCUCCCCAAGCCUCAAGGAGACGGGUAUUGGGGCCUUGCUUUCUGUUUCUCUGCUGGUUGGCCUCCCAACGAAGCCCUUUCUUUUCUUGAAAGCUGGUGCCGAAGGCUUCUCGAUGAAAGCAGUGGACACCGUGGAACAAAAUGGUAUGCACACAAGGAGGGUCUGGACCACACCUGUCAGGUGUCCAUCUUGGGCUUGUACCUGAGCCUGACUGCUCCUGGUCAGCCUGGUCCUGUUUUGUGAUCCUGCCCAGCAGGUGAAUUCCCCGUCUCUACUCCUGCUAUCUUCAGUGUGAGUUUGCACUUGUCAAGAUGAAUAAUAUGCCGCAUCAAUUCAAACUCCACUUUUCCAGUGUGUUCAGCUGUAAUAGUUUCACUUUGCCUUGAUUCUGUUGAUUGCUAUUAAAUCCUGGAUUGCUUUAAAUUCUGUGAGAUAGUCCUCAAACUAUCACUUAUAAAUUGUGUGCAUUUAUUAGAAUCUUGCUCAGAACAAAGAGUGUUCAAGCCCCUGGAAAAGACUCCUUCUACUUCUGUUCUCUAGGUAGGAAAAACGAUGGAAACAUAUUUUAUCUUUUGAGAAAAAAUAAUUGUUUAAAAAGUAAAUAUAAUAAAUUACUGU